UACGUAGGGUCCGAGCGUUGUCCGGAGUUACUGGGCGUAAAGCGCGCGCAGGCGGCGGUGUUGGCCCGGCGUGAAAGCCCCCGGCUCAACCGGGGAGAGUCGUCGGGGACCGCACCGCUUGAGGGCGGUAGGGGCUGGUGGAAUGCCUGGUGUAGUGGUGAAAUGCGUAGAGAUCAGGCAGAACACCUGGGGCGAAGGCGGCCAGCUGGGCCGUCCCUGACGCUGAGGCGCGAAAGCUAGGGGAGCAAACGGGG
rnacentral:rRNA from 1 species